ACCUCUUGAAUUUAUAAGAGGCCAUGCCUGCCCAGUGACCCAUGUUCAACGGCCGCGGUAUCCUAACCGUGCGAAGGUAGCGUAAUCACUUGUCUUUUAAAUAAAGACUUGUAUGAAAGGCUUCACGAGAGUUAUACUGUCUCCUUUUUCUAAUCAGUAAACCUAAUCUCCCCGUGAAGAAGCGGGAAUAAUCAUAUAAGACGAGAAGACCCUAUGGAGCUUAAAACAUAAUAACACUUGAUUAAUUAUCUACCACGAUACUAUCUACAAUUACUACAUGCUGAUUAUAUGUUUUCGGUUGGGGUGACCACGGAGAACAAUUUAUCCUCCAUGAUGAAAGAGAAUAAACCUCUAAACAAUAAGCCACAACUUUAAGUAUCAAAAAUUUGACAUAAAUGAUCCAAUACUUUGAUCAACGAACCAAGUUACCCUAGGGAUAACAGCGCAAUCCACUUUAAGAGUCCUUAUUGACAAGUGGGCUUACGACCUCGAUGUUGGAUCAGGGUAUCCUAGUGGUGUAGCCGCUACUAAAGGUUCGUUUGUUCAACGAUUAAAACCCUACUGACG
rnacentral:rRNA from 1 species